UAUCUUUUUAAAGGGCGUUAAAGCUUUUUCUUUUUUAAGUAUUGUAGAAGAUUUUAGGUAAAGGUCCAAAGUUGUAGAGAAGUAUCAGGGAUUUUUAUUGGUUAUUGGAAGUUUUAAUGCUAAAAUUAGUAAAGAGGACGUUAUAUUUUUUGAGUAUUAAGCAAGCUUAACUUUGGAUAGAAUAAAGUUUUUAGUACAGGAAUUAGCUUUUAUUAAGUUGUCUUCCAACUCAGGAAAUAAGGGUGUUGUGAACUAAGGGAAAGGAACUCGGCAAAUUUAAACUUNNNNNNNNNNNNNNNNNNNNCGCUCUUCGCUAAAGGUUCUAGUGUAUGAGGAGUCCUGCCUGCCCGGUGACUAUUAUGGUUAAACGGCCGCGGUAUUUUGACCGUGCAAAGGUAGCAUAAUCAUUUGCCUCUUAAAUAGAGGCUGGUAUGAAUGGCAAGACGGGGGUUUGACUGUCUCUCUUUUAGGUAGUUUGAAUUUAAUUUCUUUGUGAAGAAGCAGAGAUAAGAUCGUAGGACGAGAAGACCCUGUCGAGCUUGAGUAGAAAGGAGUAAGUAUUGUAAGUAUUCUUUUACUAAUUUGUUCUCGUAGAGACAGAAAGAGUUUAUGAAAGAUGUAAGUGUACUAUAUUGUUUCUUAUUUUGAUUGGGGCAAUCACGGAGAAUAUUUAACCUCCGUUGUAAAUUUUAAUACUUUAAAGUGACUUCUUUUGUAGUAUAAAAAUGUGUAUUUGUGAUCCACUAGGAAGUGAAUAAAGGAAUAAGUUACCGCAGGGAUAACAGCGUAAUUUUUUUGGAGAGUUCAUAUUGAUAAGAAAGUUUGCGACCUCGAUGUUGGAUCGGGAUUUCCAGGAGAUGCAGCAGUUUCCAAGGGUUGGUCUGUUCGACCAUUAAAAUCCU
rnacentral:rRNA from 1 species